rnacentral:rRNA from 1 species
AUUGAACGCUGGCGGCAUGCCUUACACAUGCAAGUCGAACGGCAGCACGGGAGCAAUCCUGGUGGCGAGUGGCGAACGGGUGAGUAAUAUAUCGGAACGUGCCCAGUCGUGGGGGAUAACGUAGCGAAAGCUACGCUAAUACCGCAUACGAUCUAUGGAUGAAAGCGGGGGGAUCGCAAGACCUCGCGCGAUUGGAGCGGCCGAUAUCAGAUUAGGUAGUUGGUGAGGUAAAGGCUCACCAAGCCGACGAUCUGUAGCUGGUCUGAGAGGACGACCAGCCACACUGGGACUGAGACACGGCCCAGACUCCUACGGGAGGCAGCAGUGGGGGAAUUUUUGGGACAAUGGGCGCAAGCCUGAUCCAGCAAUGCCGCGUGCAGGAUGAAGGCCUCGGUGUAAC